CAGUUCUCACUAUUCCAUUCAUAGCAAUUUAUAUUGAAUUCAACAGCAACUAGAAAUGGCGCGGCAGAGGCCGACGCGUAUCCCCACGCCACGGGAGCAACCCAGCGUUGGUAAUGGGGGGCCAUGCAUAGUUGAGAUUGACCGUAUUGUCAUGAGAGAUAUUCAGUAUCAAUUGGAAGUGAAUCGGUGAAGGAAUUAAAAAGUAAAUGUCUUCGUCUGAACAUGGCAUAUCUUUUUUAUUGCAUAAAUCGAUUCCUCUUAGAAUGGCCUUUAAGAAAAGGUAUGGUUAUGGGGGUCUCUAUGUGCAAAAUGCUGCAUUUAUUUUCGCUUAAAGUUGUUGCUUUUACAUUGAAUUAUAAAGGGAAACUAUUUAGUAUAUUAUGACCUCCAAGAAAAACAAUAGGCAUUAUGUAGACGGGUAAGUGUUUUACCCUAUCACCGCUUUUUUACGGUAGAUUCCAGAGAUAGUCGAUGUAUCACGGUUGAUGGCUUAUUUUCCAUGGACAGGAAAAGAAAUAGUUUUUCUUGUUCUUAUUCAUAGCGAUAAAACCUGUUGGCAUUAUUUAAAAGACAGUGCUAGUUGCAUUGUAAACUAAACAUAUCUGGUUAUUAAAUAAAGACAUGUUUGCUUUAUACACUGAUGUUUGAGCUUGGGAAAAGCCACUUGACUCCAAUACCCAGCUCAGGCAGUCUGCAAUACUCAAAGAAGUGAGGACUUUGAGUUUCUUACCGAUGCAACUGUACCAACACAUGUAAAUAAAUUUGCAACACGCUGCUAGGUUAUCUG